rnacentral:rRNA from 1 species
CCUACGGGGGGCAGCAGUGGGGAAUAUUGCGCAAUGGGCGAAAGCCUGACGCAGCGACGCCGCGUGAGGGAUGAAGGUCUUCGGAUUGUAAACUUCUGUCAGCAGGGAAGAAAGGUCACUUUGCUAAUCAGCAGUGAAUUGACGGUACCUGCAAAGGAAGCACCGGCUAACUCCGUGCCAGCAGCCGCGGGAAUACGGAGGGUGCGAGCGGUAAUUGGAAUUACUGGGCGGAAAGCGCGCGUAGGCGGGAAUUCAAGUCAAGGGGUAAAUCCCCGGGGUCAACGUGGGAACUGAAUUUGAUACUGGCAAGCUGGAGUAUGUGAGAGGAUAGUGGAAGUCCAGGUGUAGGGGUGAAAUCCGUAGAGAUCUGGAGGAACAUCAGUGGCGAAGGCGACUAUCUGGCACAUAACUGACGCUGAGGAGCGAAAGCGUGGGGAGCAAACAGGAUUAGAUACCCCAGUAGUC